rnacentral:pre_miRNA from 1 species
AGCAAGUAGGAAAAGGAAGAGAUGAGUAUCUUAGAGCAGUGGGCGUGGGAACAUGGAGGAAAGCCUAGACUUCUUGGCCUCUAAAUUUGGGGGCCAGGAUUGUUGUGUGUUUUCCCGAUGCCUCUCAUGCCUAUUGUUCUUAGCUAGUCCUUCCUUUUCCUAUUUUCU